UACGAAGGGUGCAAACGUUGCUCGGAAUCAUUGGGCGUAAAGCGCACGUAGGCGCCUCAAAAGUUGGAUGUGAAAUCCCUCGGCUCAACCGAGGACGUGCAUCCAAAGCUGUGAGGCUUGAGUACUGAAGAGGAUCGCGGAAUUCCCGGUGUAGAGGUGAAAUUCGUAGAUAUCGGGAGGAACACCAGUGGCGAAGGCGGCGAUCUGGGCAGAUACUGACGCUGAGGUGCGAAAGCGUGGGGAGCAAACAGG
rnacentral:rRNA from 1 species